UACGAAGGGGGGCUAGCGUUGCUCGGAAUCACUGGGCGUAAAGGGUGCGUAGGCGGGUCUUUAAGUCAGGGGUGAAAUCCUGGAGCUCAACUCCAGAACUGCCUUUGAUACUGAAGAUCUUGAGUUCGGGAGAGGUGAGUGGAACUGCGAGUGUAGAGGUGAAAUUCGUAGAUAUUCGCAAGAACACCAGUGGCGAAGGCGGCUCACUGGCCCGAUACUGACGCUGAGGCACGAAAGCGUGGGGAGCAAACGGG
rnacentral:rRNA from 1 species